rnacentral:rRNA from 1 species
AGUGAACGCUGGCGGUAGGCCUAACACAUGCAAGUCGAACGGCAGCACAGUAAGAGCUUGCUCUUACGGGUGGCGAGUGGCGGGCGGGUGAGGAAUACAUCGGAAUCUACUUUUUCGUGGGGGAUAACGUAGGGAAACUUACGCUAAUACCGCAUACGACCUACGGGUGAAAGCAGGGGAUCUUCGGACCUUGCGCGAUUGAAUGAGCCGAUGUCGGAUUAGCUAGUUGGCGGGGUAAAGGCCCACCAAGGCGACGAUCCGUAGCUGGUCUGAGAGGAUGAUCAGCCACACUGGAACUGAGACGCGGUCCAGACUCCUACGGGAGGCAGCAGUGGGGAAUAUUGGACAAUGGGCGCAAGCCUGAUCCAGCCAUACCGCGUGGGUGAAGAAGGCCUUCGGGUUGUAAAGCCCUUUUGUUGGGAAAGAAAAGCAGCAGGUUAAUACCCCGCUGUUCUGACGGUACCCAAAGAAUAAGCACCGGCUAACUUCGUG